rnacentral:lncRNA from 1 species
UGGUGGCUCAGCGAGUUAAGGAUUUGCCGUUGUCACUGUAGUGGUUUGGGUCGCUGCCAUUGCUUUGGUUCAGUUCCCAGAGUGGGAACUUACAUAUGCUGUGGGCACAGCAAAAAAGAAGAAAAAGAAAAAAAAAAAAAUGAAAAGUUUUCAAAGUAGAGCUCAUAGAGUAGAAUAAUUUCAGGAUGUGUAGCCUCUAAGAAUAAGUUGUUGUAGUGAAACAUCCAUUAAAAAAUAUAGUAAUGAAAAGAAGAGAUAUUGAUGUUUUUCAGAAAACUGUUUCCUGAGGUGUUGAUUUCUUUGUACGACUCACACAAUAAGCUCCCUGGCAGCAGAGCAACGUCUAGCUUUGACAUCAGUGUAAAUCUUUAGGCUAUCUUUGGAAUAAGAUGAUUGCAGCACUGACCUGCCAUCAGUGGGGCAUGAGUUGCUGAUCUGUUAUUUGACGAGUCCAACUACAGUUCUUGUUUUUAUCACCCCAGACCUCAAUGGCUUAAAUUCUGGAGAUGGCUGUUCAGGUAGGAGUUUCAGUCAUUGGCCAUGGAUGCCUGACAAUUUAAGGAAAUCUAAAACUCAGGUCAACCUUUGCAUUCAGUACAUACACCACUUAUCUAAACAUUUAUUGCCCUUCAGUCACUUUGUUGAACACUCUGAGAUACUGGUAUUUGUCAACUAUAAUUGGCUUUUAAGAAGAUGAAAAGAGACCUUGGCUAGUGCUUUGACUUUGCAGUUCCAAGGAAUGCCAAAAACACACAGUUUGGGAAUGUAGAUUAGUUAGUUACCUAUGUGGUAAAAAAAAGUUGAGUUGAUAGUACCUGUUAUGUGUUCAUUAUUUAAUGGAAGGUUUCUUAGUGCUGUUCGAUGACUGUGAGGGAAGGGUUAAGCUGCUAUCUGGAUGGAGGAUGUUGAGAGUGGCAGAGAUGGACAGGAAGUUUUAGGAGAGUUUGUGCUCGUUUAGGAAUGUAUUUUACCCAUCUGACUUUUAUUUUUUUUCAAGAGAGACUAUGUCUUUAAAUUGCUUGAACUACUUUUAAUUAUUUUGUCUGCUUUUUGUUUAAACUGUGCUUUGUGUAAUAGACCACAAGGUCUUUAUCUGCAUUAGUGCUUUGUUCUUCUUUUAUUACACAUUACAAUAACCAUAUGUAAUCUUACCUUUGUCACGUUCUUUAUUUUAUUUUUAUCUUUAUUUUUUGUCUUUUUCUCCUUUUAGGGCCGAACCUGUGGCAUGUGGAGGCUAGGGGUCGAAUCGGAGCUGUAGUCACAGGCCUAUGCCAGAGCCACAGCAACGCGGGAUCCGAGCCGCAUCUGCGACCUACACCACAGCUAACAGCAAAGCCGGAUCGUUAACCCACUGAACAAGGGAAGGGAUCGAACCCGCAACCUCUUGGUUCCUAGUCGGAUUCGUUAACCACUGCGCCACGACGGGAACUCCUACCAGUGUUUUAACAACUGAAAACAAAGUUUGGCAGGGCUAUCAUGUGAAAAAUCCCCUUUUACAGAAAAUAAAAUAAAGUGUUUCAUUUGGAAGUUAACCAACAUUGGUCUGUAAUGAUAGAAUCUUGAGGGUUUUUUUUUUUUUUUCCCAAAGAGCAAACUGUAUAAAUCACACUUGCCAAUGUAAACGGAUCAAAUGGGUUUCGAAAUCCUUUCCUGGUGCUUCAUAUUUAAUGAUAUGCCUAUUUGCUUAGAAAUUUAAAAUGAUUAUAUUUGCUCACAUAAAUUAUAUCUAUAAUUAAAUGUCUCCUUCCUCAGAAUUACAAUAUAAUUGUUUUAUCAUGGCAUUUCUUGGUUUUGAGAUUCUGUAAGAGUUGUUAGUUGUUGUAUUUACUUUAGAAUUAGACCAUAAUCAAUGUAAGCAAAUUUCAUGUGUACUAUGAGAUCUGGAGUUUCCUAAUCUGCUUUUAUGCCACUUAAAGUAGGGAAGGAGUUCCCUGGUGGCCUAGUGGUAAUAACUCAGCAUUUCUACUGCUGUGGCUCUGGUUCAGUCCCUAGGCAAGGCACUUCUGCAUGUCAUGAGUGUAGCCAAAAAACAGCAAGAGUAGAAAGCAUAAAUUGAUGCAAUACUGAGUCCAUGUAUCAUUGAGGGAAGAUAUACGUUGGUACCUUCUUUAGCAAUUGCAUUUUCCUUUAGCUACUCAUCUACAUCCAACCUUUAGCAGUGGGACCCACACCUAUCUCCAUCAACUUUAUGUGAGUAUUGUGGGGUCCCCACAUAGGUUCUCAAGUGGUAUAGCCCAUGAUUCAACUACAAGCAUCCUUUUUCCAUUGCUGUCUGUUUAAAUAAAGACAGUUUUUGUUUGUUUGUUUUUUGUCUUUUUGCCAUUUCUUGGGCCGAACCCGUGACAUAUGGGGGUUCCCAGGCUAGGGGUCGAAUUGGAGCCAUAGCUGCCGGCCAUGCCAGAGCCACAGCAAUGCGGGAUCCGAGCUGCAUCUGCAACCUACACCACAGCUCACAGCAACGCUGGAUCCUUAACCCACUGAGCAAGGCCAGGGAUCGAACCCGAAACCUCAUGGUUCCUAGUCGGAUUCGUUAACCACUGAGCCAUGAUGGGAACUCCUUUUUUUAAAAAUUUAAUUUAAUUUAAUUUUAUUUUAUUUUUGUCUUUUUGUAAAAACAGUUUUAUAGUUAAGAGUCCAGAGCACUGCAGAGGACACAGG